rnacentral:lncRNA from 10 species
GGGCACCAUCUCAUCAGCUGCCAGCACGGCUAGAAUAAAGCAGGCAGAAGAAGGUAGGAGAAGCUGACUUGCUGAGUCUUCUGGCCUUCAUCUUUCUCUUGUGCUGGGUGCUCCCUGCCCUUGAACAUCAGACUCCAAGUUCUUCGGCUUUUGGACACUUGAACUUACACCAGUGGCUCUCUCUCUCUCUGGCCUUCAGCCACAGACUGAAGACUACACUGUCGGCUUCCCGACUUCUGAGGUUUUGGGAUUCAGACUGGCUUUCUUGCUCCUCAGCUGGCAGAGGGCCUAUCAUGGGACUUCAUCUUGUGACUAUGAUGUGCCCUAGAUCCAAGGACAGGUGUCCUUCUAGAGAUGAAGAGAAGACAGAGGAGAUGGAAGUGAUGCAGCUACAAACCGAAGAACCCCUAGGACCACCAGGAGCUUACAGACUCAAGGAGGCUUCUUCCCUAGAGCCUUUGAAGACAGCCUGCAGGCCGGGCGCCGUGGCUCACGCCUGUAAUCCCAACACUGUGGGAGGCACAGGCAGGCGGAUCACCUGAGGUUGGGAGUUUGAGACCAGCCUAACCAACAUGGAGAAACCCCGUCUCUACUAAAAAUACAAAAAUUAGCCAGGCGUGGUGGUGGAAGCCUGUAAUCCCAGCUGCUUGGGAGGCUGAGGCAGGAGAAUCACUUGAACCCGGGAGGCUGAGGUUGCAGUGAGCCGAGAUCGUGCCAUUGCACUGCAGCCUGGGCAACAAGAGUGAAACUCUGUCUCAAAAAAAAAAAAAAAGAGAGAGAGAGAGAGCCUGCAGCCUUGCUAACACCUUGAUUUUAGACUUCUGGUCUCCAGACCUGUGAGAGAAUAAAUUCUGCUGUUUUAAGCCACUCA